AGACGUUGAUAGGCUGGGUGUGUAAGUGCAGCGAUGCAUUGAGCUAACCAGUACUAAUGAUCCGUGAGGCUUAACCUUACAACACCGAAGGUGUUUUAG
rnacentral:rRNA from 1 species